rnacentral:rRNA from 1 species
GACGAACGCUGGCGGCGUGCUUAACACAUGCAAGUCGAACGGAAAGGCCCUGCUUUUGUUGGGUGCUCGAGUGGCGAACGGGUGAGUAACACGUGAGUAUCCUGCCCUUGACUUUGGGAUAUCUUCAGGAAACUGGGGCUAAUACCGGAUAGGAGCUCCUGCUGCAUGGUGGUGGUUGGAAAGUUUCGGCGGUAGGGGCUGGAAUGGCAGCUUAUGCGCUUCAUUGUGUGGUAGGGGCUUACCAAGGCUUUGAAGGGUAGCCGGCCUGGGAGGUGUACCGGCCACAUGGGUACUGAGAUACGGACCAGACUCGUACGGGAGGCAGUAGUGGGGAAUAUUGCACAGCGGCGGGAAGCCUGAGACAGAAACGCUGCGUGCGGGAUGACGGCUUUCGGGGUGUAAACAGCUUUCGCCGGUGCCGAAGCGUGAGUGACGGUAAUGGGUAAAGAAGCACCGGCUAACUACGUG